rnacentral:lncRNA from 1 species
CAUCGGGAGCUCUGAUGCCACCUCAUGAAAUAUACCGGCUGGCAUCUUGCUGGCUAGCCGCUAAUCUACACCGACCAGGGGUUAUGACUAGAUAGUGGUGUGCCAUGGACUACAAGCGGUUGCAGCCAAUGUCCUGGCAACAGGAAAGGUCAUAUAGGUUAUUGAGAUGCUCAAUGUCAGUGUCCAUCAAAUGCUGCUUUUUCUAACCGAUAUGUGGUAUGUCAUAAUAGAUAUGAACUAUCGUGCUCUUAACUGGUAGUAUUCUACCAUCAGUAUUAUCAUCAGCUUAAGAAUUAUAGAGCU